rnacentral:lncRNA from 1 species
UUGUUUUUUAACUUCUUCUAUAAGUAGAAAAACGUUCUGAUUAAUUAUGGCCCUAAUUUAAAAGGGAUUUUAAUUAGGUCCAUUGUCUAUGUCGAAAAGUCUUUACACAGUUCUGUCGAAUAAAUGACGUGGGUGUUUGAAGUUUAAUUUUCUAGUUACAUUUUUCCAUAUAUCAACCAUCCAGCAAUGGAUGUAUAACUUAUUCUUUUGCACCACAUUAGAUUCUAAUAAAAAUCUUUUAUAUACGUGGGUUCUAUGAUUCCCUAUGUCAAUGCUUGUAUAUUUUUAAAGAUCUCAGGUAUCCACCGUUGCAAGAGUAGCGUUUUUUAGAAUAAAAAUUAAAAAAACAAAAUCUUUAAAAUUGCAAAAUGGGGCGAGAUUUGAUGUUAACUUAGGAAUUUAUCUUGCUUAUGGCUAAUUGAAUGAGAGAUACAUAAACCUGGGACUUCCCCUUCA